rnacentral:lncRNA from 1 species
AGGAGUUCGAGACCAGCCUGGCCAACAUGGCAAAACCCCGUCUCUACCAAAAAUACAAAAAUUAGCUGGGCGUGGUGGCGUGUGCCUGUAAUCCCAGCUACUCGGGAGGCUGAAGCAGGAGAAUUGCCUGAACCAGGGAGGCAGAGGUUGCAGUGAGCUGAGAUUGCACCACUGCACUCCAGCCUGGGCGACGAGAGUGAAACUCCGUCUUAAAAAAAAAGAAAGUCUUACUCUGUCGUCCAGGCUGGAGUGCAGUGGCACAAUCUCGGCUCACUGCAACCUCUGCCUCCCGGGUUCAGGCGAUUCUCCUGCUUCAGCCUCCCGAGUAGCGCAUGCCACCAUGCCCGGCUAAUUUUUGUAUUUUUGGUAGAGAUAAGGUUUCACCAUGUUGGCCAGGCUGGUCUGGAAAACUCCUGACCUCACGUGAUCCGCCCCCUCGGCCUCCCAAAGUGCUGGGAUUACGGGCGUGAGCCACCACACCCAGCAAAAAAAAAAAUUUGUUUUUACUCACCACUAUACUGACAAGGAACAGGUGAUUUUAAACAUCCCCUCCCACCUACAUUUUAGCUGGAACAAUUCUCCAGAGGCAUGGGGGUAGAGUGGGGUGGUGAGUUCUAGGCAGCAAGUUAACAAAUGACCCCUAAAGAUAUUCAUCUAGGCUCUAGGAGGCCCAAAAUCAGGCCCUGGCAGUUCCCCUGACGCAAAACCAUGGCAAGAGUUCCGGGAGCACCAAGGCAAGGUCACAAAAGUGGCACGAUGACCCUACCCUGGGAUGCAGCUCAGCCUGACCCAGCCCAACUCAACCCAGCUACCCUGGAGGCUGCUAUGAGCUGAGCCGGGAGCUGGGAAAGGGCCCAGCAUUCCUGUCCUUCUGCCAAAGCCGGCUUCUUAGGACCCCAGUGUUGUGGCUCCUCCUUUGGUCUUGGUUUCUUUCCCACCAGAUUAUAACUCCACCAGAGUAGGACUUUAUCUAUCUUGUGUACUGCUCUAUUUUCAGUGCCUAGAACUGUGCCUGUCAAUCAAUACAGGCUGCUGAAAAGGCUAGAAAUACAGGAUCGUUGAUGUCAUUACUGUUACAGUGCUGUUCCCGUGGGA